rnacentral:rRNA from 1 species
GACGAAACGCUGGCGGCGUGCCUAAUACAUGCAAGUCGAACGCUUCUUUUUUCCAUCGGAGCUUGCUCCACCGGAAAAAGAGGAGUGGCGAACGGGUGAGUAACACGUGGGUAACCUGCCCAUCAGAAGGGGAUAACACUUGGAAACAGGUGCUAAUACCAUAUAACAAUCGAAACCGCAUGGUUUUGAUUUGAAAGGCGCUUUCGGGUGUCGCUGAUGGAUGGACCCGCGGUGCAUUAGCUAGUUGGUGAGGUAAACGGCCUCAACCGAAGGCGACG